rnacentral:misc_RNA from 1 species
GAUGAAGAACGCAGUGAAAUGCGAUAAGUAAUGUGAAUUGCAGAAUUCAGUGAAUCAUCGAAUCUUUGAACGCACAUUGCGCCCGCCAGUAUUCUGGCGGGCAUGCCUGUUCGAGCGUCAUUUCAACCAUCAAGCCCCAGGCUUGUGUUGGGGUCCUGCGGCUGCCGCAGGCCCUGAAAAACAGUGGCGGGCUCGCUGUCACACCGAGCGUAGUAAUACAUCUCGCUUUGGACGUGCGGCGGGUUCUUGCCGUUAAACACCCCCCUUCUCAAGGUUGACCUCGGAUCAGGUAGGAAUACCCGCUGAACUUAAGCAUAUCAAUAAGCGGAGGA